rnacentral:rRNA from 1 species
CCUACGGGUGGCAGCAGUGAGGAAUAUUGGUCAAUGGGCGCGAGCCUGAACCAGCCAAGUAGCGUGAAGGAUGACUGCCCUACGGGUUGUAAACUUCUUUUAUAAAGGAAUAAAGUGAGGCACGUGUGCCUUUUUGUAUUUACUUUAUGAAUAAGGAUCGGCUAACCCCGUGCCAGCAGCCGCGGUAAUACGGUGGAUCCGAGCGUUACCCGGAUUUGUUGGGUUUAAAGGGAGCGUAGAUGGGUUGUUAAGUCAGUUGUGAAAGUUUGGGGCUCAACCGCAAAAGUGCAAUUGAUACUGGCAGACUUGAGUGCAGUUGAGGUGGGCGGAAUUCGUGGUGUAGCGGUGAAAUGCUUAGAUAUCACGAAGAACACCGAUUGCGAAGGCAGCCUACUAACAUGCCACUGACAUUGAUGCUCGAAAGUGUGGGUAUCAAACAGGAUUAGAUACCCGGGUAGUC